rnacentral:rRNA from 1 species
UACGGGGGGGGCAAGCGUUGUUCGGAAUUACUGGGCGUAAAGGGCUCGUAGGCGGCCCACUAAGUCAGACGUGAAAUCCCUCGGCUUAACCGGGGAACUGCGUCUGAUACUGGAUGGCUUGAGUUUGGGAGAGGGACGCGGAAUUCCAGGUGUAGCGGUGAAAUGCGUAGAUAUCUGCAGGAACACCCGUGGCGAAGGCGGCGCGCUGGACCGCAACUGACGCUGAGGAACGAAAGCUAGGGGAGCAAACAGG